rnacentral:lncRNA from 1 species
CUUAUGCGUCCUUCAACUCAAAAAGCUUUUGUGAGCUUUUCCACUUCGUGUUCCUCUGAUCGAUCAUUUCGCGUUGUGCCCCUCAAUUGUCUUCUGGAUGAUCGAUUCUUUCGCGUUUUUAAUUAUAUUAAAAUAAAAAUUGUUUUCUAUUAUUUAAAUAUUUUUAAUGUAUAUGGCAAAUAUUUAAUUAUAUUUGUGGGACCCAAUUAUGCACCACGUUAGCAUAUAACAGAUUUUUUGACGAAAUGGUAACGGAAGGACCACAUUGAUUGGCAACACCCAUUUUCAAGGACUACAUUGAUUGAUUUUUAAUUUUAGGGACCAUCUUGAUGGGGUGGGUUAAUUUCAAGGACAAUUUGUGAUAAAAACCAUUUUUUGAAUAUUGCAAUGUCAUACAUUAACUUCCAAAUUUUUUGUAAUAUCAGACCUCUGUUAGUCAAUGCAUUUAAUUUAACCGUUAAACAAUGAUGUGUCAAAUGUGGAUCCCACAUUUUUACUAAUGUGAUGUCAAAUUUGUGCCACGUGGACAACCAACCAAUUAAAAUUAUGUAGAAUUAUGAAAAUAAAAUACAACUUUUAAAUUAAAUUCAAAAGACCACCACCACUACUUUCUCUUACCCCAACACCACCGCGAUUUUACCCACCACCAAUCACCAGACCAUCACCAUUUGUCGCCCUUCUGAAAGCUAUCAAAGUUGUUGCACCAUCAUACCCGGAUCCCAUUUUCAUGAAACAACAGCAUCCUGGCCCGAUGCCAUACAUGUUUCACCACCUCAAGGAAUCAUGGAACUUGUUGCUGCCCUGCCAUACCAUUUUCAAAAUUUCAUAUAAUUUUAAUUUGUUGUGUGUCCAUGUGGCACAUAUUUGACCUUACAUUACUUAAAAUAUGGGAUCCACAAUUGACACAUCAUCAUUUAACAAUCAAAUUAACGGAUUGACUAACCGAGGUAUGAUAUUGCAAUGAAGUCGUAAGUUGAUGAAUGACAUUGUAAUGUUUAAAAGGUGAGGUAUGAGUUUGUUAUUUGACCUAAAGUUGAGGUGGUAAAAUAUAAUUUACUCUCAAACAUAACUCAAGAUUCCCAAGGGCGUGUCUAAGGUGCGAACAAAGCGUGCAAACAAUUCGUGGGGACAAAGAUCUAACGGCUAAAAA